CGCCCACAAAAGCUCAUGCUCCAAUACGUCUGUUAGUCUAUAAGGUACCACAGAACUCUCUGCUGCUUCUGCUUCCUUGUUUAAGGAGUUUGGGUGAAUUUUAAAGCAACAACCCACGGGGGUGGGGGCACAGCUCUACCUCCUUCCUUCUAAGCCUGGGCCCCCCUCCCACAGCUCUGCCGGUGCCUCCCAAACCCAACCGCAGCCACCUGCUAGCCCAGCCCUGGGCUCCCCCUUCACAUAGCUCUGCCGGUGCCCCCAAUUGCAAUCCACAGCCACCGGCUAGCCCAGCCCUGGGGUCCCUCCUCACACAGCUCUGCCAGUGCCUCUCAACCCGGGACUUUUCCAUUCCACCCUGAGUCCUUUCCUGCCCCUCUCUGGCUCCCCCCUGCUCCCCUCAGGCCCAUGUGGAGUACGGCAGAGUCAGGUGGGCCAAGACCGUCUCUGCCAGCCAGUCCCAGGGCAGCUGGGCACGGAUCAGCCUGCAGAUCUCAUGGCCUCUUGCUCAUUCACACCUCCACCAGCAGCUGCUGGCAGCUUCUCCUAGAGCCGGGGGUGCCAGCCCCCAGCGCCAGCCCUGCUCCAAGCGGGCCAGGCUGGAGAGCGCCCAUGUCCCCAGCUCCCGCCUCCGCUCUGGCAAGAACAGCCACAGCUCCGCAGCGCCUGCAUUGCCCGCGGCGUGAGGCCCGUGCCAUCUCCAUGGCAACAGGCUCCUGCACAAUCCUGCUGGCUGCGAGCUCAGCCUCCCACGGCCGCGAGGAUGGGGGAAGGGGCAUCGUGCUCUCCCCUGCUCCAUCCCACGGGCCUGGCAGGGCGGGGGCCAUGUGACGGGGGGCAUGGAGCCAGCAUCACUCCACCCCACAGCCCAGCUCAGUGUGGCCCUGGCUUUCAGGGGCCAGGCGCUCCCCAGGGCUGCUCGGCCCGCAGACACCGGAGGGAGAGCAGGGGCUGGGCUCGGCGCCCCCCAGGAGAGGUGCUCCCUCCCAGCCGGCCUGGGGGCUGCAGUGUCACAACCAUAGCAGGGACCACUGAGCUGUGGGGCCAAGCCGCCAGCAGAGAACACCGGCACGAGUGCCAGUGCCUAGGCUACCGGGCCGCAGCCCGAGCCCAGGGCAAGAGUCAAUGCCACCCCUGUCUUCCAGCCCUGCCCAUGCCCCAGGCCCUCUGCCACGGGGCUCUGUGAGCAGCUUCUUCCCUCUAAAAGCCCCCUGGAGCCACUGGCCAGGAAAGAAACCGACCCCAGGAUUAGCAGCCACUCAUUGCCCGUGGUUGUGCCCCCCGGGGCACCGGCCACACCCCAGCCACGACAGGGCAGAGAAGCCCCUGGUACUAGGGCGCAGUAUUUGGGCUCUCCCAGAGCACUCCCCUGAGGACGAGCCCCAUGCAGUGAGGUCUGCCACGUUCCUGGCUCCCAUACAGGCACACCAGCUGCCUCGUUACCACGCCAGGAAUGCACAUUAAACCCAAUAGCUAAGACUACGCCCACUGCCAGGCACACGUCAAGUGCUACUGCCAGGGCAGGGCAGGGCAGCUGGGGCGAGGUCCCCACCCUGUCAGCAAAGCACAAUCCCCCCAUGACAGCCCAGUCCCUUCUCCCCCACCGCACUGCUCGAUGCACAGUGGCCUAUAGGGAGAGACUCGGAGAAGGGGUGAUGGGUUGGGGAAGCAGGGAUCCCAUAGGCAGAACCAUACCCCCUCAGGCUCCACCACCAGUGUACGCAAUGUGCGGAUGGAGGAGAGGGCCAGGCACUUUAUACCCAGAGCCCAGGGCAUCAGAGCAGGCUAGGAGAGGGGAACCCAGCCUCAAGCUUCAGGGCGCUGGGAUCAUUGUGGGGUCAGGAAGGGUGCCCACAGGGACCAGGCUGUGGGGUGGAGCAGGGGUCAGUGCAGGGCACACACAGGAGCAAGGCCAGAAGAGGAGGCAUUUGCUGCGACGGUGCUAGCUGGGGUGGGAACAUGCCUCCAACUGGGGUGGCAGGGACUCACCCUCGCUCAUAGUGCCCACCCACCCUCUCCACCAGCCAGCAGGUUGGGAGCUGCCCUGAGGGGCCAGGCCCAACCUCCCCUCCCAGCGCAGAAAGCUCCAACUACAGCUGCCCCUGCUCCAAGAGGCUGGCACUCACCCCGGGGGGGCCCCAUCACAGCCCAUCGGCCUCACGCAGAACUGCCUGAGAGCAGCUCCCAGGGGCCAGACCUAGGCUGGAGAGCCCCAGCCCCAAGCUCCUGUGGAUUUAACCCUGGGCCCCCCAGCAUUCACCGGCUGGCCAACCGCAACAGCCCAGCUUCCCCCUCUCCCCAGUUCGGUGCCCUGCACACUAGGGUUCUGCACCAGCUCGAGGCUGGGGCGAGGGGGUCCUUGCCCACCCUUGCAGCCGGCUGGCUCUUGGGGCCCAAGAAGAGUGCGCAUGGGGCAGGGGGGCGGCAGGAUCACAUGCAUCCCCAGCCCAGGCGAGAGGCCCUGGAGAGCCAUGGCCCAGCGGGAAGAAUUUGUGCCAUCUCUGAGAGUGCCCCAAACACACACAUUGCAAAUCCCCAGCUCUAACCCCUGGGUUCACACUUUCCACCCCACACCCUUAUCUACUGUGCCUGGCCCCUGCACCCCUGCCUGCAGCCCAGAGAUAGGCCGGCUGCCCUGGGUUUGUGUGGCCCUCGCUGAGAGCGCAGGAGAGUCGGGAGGGCUGGCUCCCAGGGCACCCCGGGCUGCACAGCAGCACAGGCUGAGUCCAGCACUGCCGUAGCAUGGAGAGAGCGGCUUCAAAGCCAGCCACAUCCCUGUCACAUCGCCCUCCCCACAGCCUGGCGCCGGGCCACCUCCAGCAACGGGAAGGGGAUGAGAGGGCUUGGGAGCCCCUCCGCUGCAUGCGUCAGAGGACGAGAAGUCACAGGAACAGCAAAGGCACCGGGCCAGGCGCUGGCAAAGCCCUGGCAUGGGCGGUACAGUCAGGGCACCCAAAGCAAGCCUGGCAGCGUGGGACAAUGCUCCCCAGCACACCGGGGCCAAAGGAUCCCGCAGGAGGACAGGGCUGGGGAAAUGAGAUCCUGGCAGCGCCGCAAAGCCCGGGUCAUUCCAGAGCCCCCAGCAGCGCUGACAACGGCUCCUCUUUGCUGGCCCUCGUGCUGUGCUGGGGGGAGUUUCUGGCUGGUUCACAUCACCGAGGGAGAGCGACAGUGGCAACUGGUUGCACCAUGAGGUCAACACUUGCCCAUUGCCAAGCAAGCUGGGGCAUCCGUGCCACCAGCACAAGGUCACUCCCAUUGGAUCCACCCCACACCCACCGAAUGCAGGGACAGGCCAAGUGACCAGUCCUACAUGGGUCCUGCAUCCCUGCAUGGCCUCUGGGAUAGGGCAGCACAGCAAAGGCAGCCUGAGUGCCAGCGAGAAGGCUGUGCUGGGAGAUUUUGCCAGCUGGCUGCCCUGGGGAGCGGCAAGCCAUCGCCGAGGUCUAGCACCCCGAAAGGGGUGCGGCCCCUCCCUUUGCAGCCUGGUCCUGCCUGGUCCCCAGUCUGAAACACAAGGGGUCCUUGCUGCUCAGGCUUGCUGGGCAGAGCGGCCAGUUGGCAUCUUCCCUCUCCACUCCAGGGUGCUCCCAGGUGCGCUCCCUGCCUCUCCUGCUUGGGAGCUGGAGGGUCAGGCAGAUGGGCCCUGAGAGCCAGGGGGUGAUGUUCUCUAGUGCAAAGGCCAGUACCUGGAGGAGAAAGGCCCCACUGAGGAAUUUGGGACAAUGGGGACGCACAAGAACUCUCGUGUAGCUCUUUAUUGUGGCUAGGACCCACCGAUCUGAAGCCGUUUCCUGGAUCUGUGUCCUGGGAAUCUCUGCAGGCUCAGACAGGCCGGUGGGCCCAGGAUCCACUCCCAAGCGAAGGGGCGUCCGGGAGAGCAGAACUCGGAACCUGCCUGGGAGCCUACAGGCCCACGGGCAGCCCCACAGGGCUCAGCUACGGUGGGACCAGUCUUUUUGUGCUUGACUAAAGGGAACCACUUCUUUUUGGCUCCCCUGCAUCACCCAAGGCCUGGGCCAGGUGACCCCGCAGAGGUGCCCUCCCCAAAGGAGAGGCCCUCCCGACGGAGCUUCAAUCCCAUCACCUGACCACCCCCUCAGCUGGAGGAAGCAGCAAGUUCCCAUCACGCCUGCCACUGCCUGGGCCAGACCCGCAUCAGAGUCUCCAGCAAAACCACCUGCAGGUUGGGAGGAAGGAACUAGUGUCCAGCUGCACGGCUAGGCAGGCGGCCCGGCACACUCACCCCCUCACCCCACCGGAGAGACAAAAGACUGUUGGGGCCUGUUGCUGCUUUCUGUGCCCUGAGCCCAGAUGGAAACUAACUGCUAAUGGGGCCUCGUGUCUGGGCAGGGCCAUCACGGCUCUGCUGUGCCCGAGGGAGGCUGCAGAACCCAGCCGAGCCCCAAGGGAGAGAACUCACCACAAUGCUGCUGCAGAAGUCCCAGGUCCUGGCUUCCUUCCACAGGGCCCUUUGUACAGUUACCAGCUCGGGCACAUUCCCGCCUGUGCCCCCUGGUGCCAGGACGCCCCAGCUCCUGCCAUGCUGGAACGUGCUCAGUGCUGGCACGAGCCACAGAGAGACGCGGCCUGAGCCGCUCUGACAGUGCCGGAGUGUAGAGCCAUGCCAGCGGGCUCUGAAACACGCCUCACAAACCACAGCCUUGGCACUGGCUCCUGAGGCCCCCAGGACAGACACCCGAAGCAGAUCCCCAGUGACGUGCAGCAAGCCACACAUUGCCCUGGCCAGGGCUAAGGGAUCUUCACACCCCUGAGCCCAGGGCUAGCCAAGGCAAAGCAGCCAGCUGGGCGCUGGGCACCCAUCACAGCACCCCUCCCUGACCAGGCCUGGCUUCCCCUUCCCUCAGUCGGGAUCGCCAGUCAUGCCAAGCUCAGCCCGAGGGUCUAAUUCACCCUGCUUAGCUCACACCUGAGCCCCAAGCCAGAUGUGACGCCAGCAGAGAGGCCAGUGCUCCAGCUCCCUCUGCCCCUAGCAGCCCUCCUCCCCCAGGGCACUGCCCUGCAGCCACCUGCCUGCACACAGACCCAGAGAGGGCAGCAUGGCCCUGCUCUCCAGUUCACGCCAGGCCACAAAUCCGGGCAAACCCUUUUCGAAUCGCUGCACGGAGGCUUGGACACUUGGGAGCAACUUGGCACAUCCACAUACAUUACAAACGCUGGACGCCUCCUGCUUAUCCUGGGAGGGAGUAUUUCCACGUGGAACCAGGCACCUCUGGUGGAACCAGAGUAUUUCCACGUGGAACCUGCGGCCAAGGGGUCAGAGCAGGGCCCACAUCCAGAGCCAGGGAACCGAAGCCAGGCUCCAGCCAGGGGCUAGCAGGCGCAACUUCCAUUGGGCGGCCCCCAUGGACACUGGGUCUGAUCUAGUGCUGGGGCUGCCAGGGCUCGCUGCGGGCCUCAGCAAGGCACCAGGACUAACAUUUUCCACUGCAGCCUCUGACUGUAGUGCCCAGCCUGAGACACCAGGCCCUGGGCUUGCAGGGGUAUCCGGGGUGCUCAGCCAGUCGGGGGCACACAUGGUCUGGAACCACUUCUGACCCUGGGGGCCUUAACCGCUCUGGGCCAGUCUCCAGACAGACACUACAUUAUAAAAUGCAUUCGGGUCACUGGAUCGAGAGUGAAAAUAUUAACGUUCACCUCCA